rnacentral:rRNA from 1 species
AGCAGCCGCGGUAAUUCCAGCUCCAAUAGCGUAUAUUAAAGUUGUUGCAGUUAAAAAGCUCGUAGUUGAAUUUCGGGGUUAGUAGGUUGGUCAUGCCACUGGUAUGUACUGAUCUUACUGAUUCCUCCUUCCUGAUGAACCGUAAUGCCAUUAAUUUGGUGUUGCGGGGAGACUGGACUGUUACUUUGAAAAAAUUAGAGUGUUUAAAGCAGGCUAACGCUUGAAUACAUUAGCAUGGAAUAAUGAAAUAGGACGUUCGAUCCUAUUUUGUUGGUUUCUAGGAUUGACGUAAUGAUUAAUAGGGAUAGUUGGGGGCAUUAGUAUUCAAUUGUCAGAGGUGAAAUUCUUGGAUUUAUUGAAGACUAACUACUGCGAAAGCAUUUGCCAAGGAUGUUUUCAUUAAUCAAGAACGAAAGUUGGGGGAUCGAAGACGAUCAGAUACCGUCGUAGUCUUAACCAUAAACUAUGCCGACUAGGGAUCGGAUGAUGUUAAUUUUUUAUGUA